rnacentral:rRNA from 1 species
GUCAUAGAGGGUGAGAAUCCCGUAUGCGGUCGGAAAGGUGCUCUAUACGUAGCUCCUUCGACGAGUCGAGUUGUUUGGGAAUGCAGCUCUAAAUGGGAGGUAAAUUUCUUCUAAAGCUAAAUAUUGGCCAGAGACCGAUAGCGCAAGUAGAGUGAUCGAAAGAUGAAAAGCACUUUGGAAAGAGAGUUAAAAAGCACGUGAAAUUGUUAAAAGGGAAGGGAUUGCAACCAGACUUGCUCGCGGUGUUCCGCCGGUCUUCUGACCGGUCUACUCGCCGCGUUGCAGGCCAGCAUCGUCUGGUGCCGCUGGAUAAGACUUGAGGAAUGUAGCUCCCUCGGGAGUGUUAUAGCCUCUUGUGAUGCAGCGAGCGCCGGGCGGGGUCCGCGCUUCGGCUAGGAUGCUGGCGUAAUGGUCGUAAUCCGCCCGUCUUGAAACACGGACCAAGGAGAAUCAC